CACGUAGGGGGCGAGCGUUGUCCGGAUUUAUUGGGCGUAAAGGGUGCGCAGGCGGCCGAGUGUGUGAGGCGUGAAAGCCCGGGGCUUAACCCCGGAAUUGCACCUCAAACUACACGGCUAGAGCAUUGGAGAGGGUAGCAGAAUUCAUGGUGUAGCAGUGAAAUGCGUAGAUAUCAUGAGGAAUACCAGAGGCGAAGGCGGCUACCUGGACAAUUGCUGACGCUCAGGCACGAAAGCGUGGGGAGCAAAAGGG
rnacentral:rRNA from 1 species